GUGGCAGGUGCCUAUAGUCCCAGCUACUUGGGAGGCUGAGGCAGUAGGAUCGUUUGAACCCAGGGCCUUGUUGCUGUGAGGUAGGCUGACCCUGCUGCAGCACUGUAGCUGGGCAACAGAGUAUGUGUCUCCAAAAAAAAAAAAAAAAAAAAAAUCACAUGGCCUGGGGGGUAGCUAGGUAAGGAAAGGGAGGAUUCUGAGGGCAAUGUGCAAACUGUAAAUACUGAUUUAUUUAGAAGGAAAGAAUUGGCUUUUUCUCCUCUCUACAUUUCCCAAUUUUCUUUUAAUAAGAAUGUUUAAUUUCCGUAAUGGAAAACAGUAAGAGCUACAAGGCCAUUGGUAACACUGCUGCAUGGGAAGGCAGUGGGAAGGGAAAGCACUCAUGACAAGCAGCACCUGGAACUGGAGGGGCAAAGAGUUGAUUACCAGGGGUAGGUUUUCUCCCCUUUUGUAACAAACAGCUUGACUUGCCCAGAUGUGAUGCUGGUGGGCCAGAGUGGCCAAAGGAAAAAAAAAAAAAGUCUCAAAUUGAUCUUCUCAAAGACCACUCCCCCUGGGCAGCACCUGUGGCUCAAGGAGUAGGGCGCCAGUCCCAUAUGCCAGAGGUGGCGGGUUCUAAACCUAGCCCCGGCCAGGAAAAAAAACCAAAAAAAAAAAAAAAAAAGUU